UACGGAGGGUGCAAGCGUUGUCCGGAUUUAUUGGGUUUAAAGGGUGCGUAGGCGGUUCGUUAAGUCCGGGGUGAAAGCCCACUGCUCAACAGUGGAACUGCCCUGGAAACUGGCGGACUUGAGUACAGACGAGGGCGGCGGAAUGGAUGGUGUAGCGGUGGAAUGCAUAGAUACCAUCCAGAACCCCCGAUUGCGAAGGCAGCUGCCUA
rnacentral:rRNA from 1 species